rnacentral:rRNA from 1 species
GAUGAACGCUGGCGGCAUGCCUAAUACAUGCAAGUCGAGCGAACAGAUGAAGUGCUUGCACUUCUGACGUUAGCGGCGAACGGGUGAGUAACACGUAAGGAAUCUACCUAUAAGCGGGGGAUAACAUUCGGAAACGGGUGCUAAUACCGCAUAAUGUCUUCUUCCGCAUGGAAGAAGAUUGAAAGACGGCUCUGCUGUCACUUAUAGAUGACCUUGCGGUGCAUUAGUUAGUUGGUGGGGUAAUGGCCUACCAAGACGAUGAUGCAUGGCCGACCUGAGAGGGUGAUCGGCCACAUUGGGACUGAGACACGGCCCAAACUCCUACGGGAGGCAGCAGUAGGAAAUCUUCCGCAAUGGGCGAAAGCCUGACGGAGCAAUGCCGCGUGAGUGAAGAAGGCCUUCGGGUCGUAAAACUCUGUUAUAAGAGAAGAACAAAUUGUAGAGUAACUGCUACAGUCUUGACGGUAUCUUAUCAGAAAGCCACGGCUAACUACGUGCCAGCCGCCGCCGUAA